rnacentral:rRNA from 1 species
UGGCGCACGGGUGCGUAACGCGUGGGAAUCUGCCCUUCGGUUCGGAACAACAGUUAGAAAUGACUGCUAAUACCGGAUAAUGACGUAAGUCCAAAGAUUUAUCGCCGAAGGAUGAGCCCGCGUAGGAUUAGCUAGUUGGUAAGGUAAAAGCUUACCAAGGCGACGAUCCUUAGCUGGUCUGAGAGGAUGAUCAGCCACACUGGGACUGAGACACGGCCCAG